UCCAUGGAGCCUUCACCACGAUCCGGAGAUCCGUAAGGCAAAAUGCGACAAUAAGGGGAGCGACAUCAUCACCACGAGCUUCCACCAUGGGAACCACCGUGGUGGCUACCUCGGUAGCCACCCACGGCGAGGUCCAUGAUGCCUUCACCACGGCCACCAUGGGAACCACCACGAUGGCUACUUCGGUAGCCACUCGUGGCGAGGUCCAUGGAGCCUUCACCACGGCCCGAGCCGUGCCAUCCAAGGCUCACGGUACCAAGACCACGAUCCAAGCCGUGCCAUCCAAGUUCACGUGGACCCAAGCCCAAGCCUCGCAUUCACAUGCACCGCGCAUUGAGCAGCCUGCUCCCGUGAUCCAGCCUGCUCCCGUCGAGCAACCCACUCCCGUGGCCCAGCCUGCUCCUACCAAGCAGCCCACUCCCGUGGCCCAGCCUGCUCCUGCCAAGCAGCCUACUUCCGUGGCCCAGCCUGCUCCUGCCAAGCAACCUGCUCCCGCCAAGCAACCUGCUUCCGUGGCCCAGCCUGCUCCCGCCAAGCAACCUGCUCCUGCCAAGCAGCCUGCUCUCGUGACCCAGCCUGCUCCCAACGAGCAGCCCACUCCCGACUAGCAGCCCACUCUCAAGGCCCACACUGCUCCCGUGGCUUUCCAAGCAGCCCAAGUCGGCCCAAAACUAUCUCAACCAUCUGGACCUACCAUCGAGCCGGGGGCAUUCUCACCACAUUUUUUCGCGGAUUUGACAUUUCCCAACUCAAAUCUCGCGCCCGGAGUCUACCACCCUUCCACUGCUCAAGGAGGCGCAUUCCUUCCAAGCUCUUCCAAUCCAAAUGGCGAACAACACUUGUCUCGACAAGUCAUAGAAUUGACGAGCACCCUUGCACAACAGACAACUUUGGUGAAUCAACUUUUGCAACGCAUCGGGAUCCAACGUGCCCCGGAUGAGGUAUCCCGAAGUAGGACAAGGGCAGACGAACCUUUCCAGCAGCAUCCCAGCAAGCAGCCAUUCGACCAGCCACGAGCUGAACGUUCAGGCAGUGUACAUUCCCGAUUGGGCCCCCGAGAUAGCGUAUACUCCCGUCUUAGCGCGCGGAGGAGCGUGUACUCUCGACUAGGCCCACGGAUGAGCAUACAUUCACGGUUGGGGUCACACUCCGAUAGUCAACAUGAGCAACCUUCCAGACAAAGUGUUCAUUCGCGGCUAAGCCCACAAGGAGCAUCAUCCACCUCACAUCAGAGUAGGCAGCACGACGGACGGAGAGAAGCAGUCACUCAAUCCAGCUCAAGUUCAACCAGCAGCCUGCGAAGAACUCGCUCGCCUGCUAGGAAUGCACCAUAUGCACUGCAUCUGCGGCAUAGACGAGCCAAACACAUGGAAGAGCAGCCUAGACCAGCAAGUCAUGGCUGGGGGCAGCCGAGAGCUGCACUACCCCAACAAAGGCAAAUUCAGGAAGAAGUAGAGAGACUCUUGACCAAGCGAUUGCAUGAUUUCCAACGCAACGAGGUCACCAACGAGGCACUACGACGGAACAUGACCAACAUAAG
rnacentral:lncRNA from 1 species